CGGCGGCGUCCCGGACGCCGUCGGCGGCCCGUGCGCAUGCCGAGUCCCCCUCGCGGCGGGGGGUUUUCGAGCGAGAGAGGAAUGCUGCUCGAAGUGCUUGACCACGAUCCCGCCGCCCCGGCGCGGUCGUGCCCCCGCCGCUGCAUGUGCGGGCUUCGGGGGGAGGUGGCGAAAAGGGGAAGAGACCCGGCGUCGUCGCCGGGCCCCACCCUCUCCGUGUGGGCGGUUGGGGCCCCAAGGCGGCGGUGCCUCUCCUCCCCUUUGCCCCCUUCCUCCGCUCCGCCUCAGCCCGCGGUCGGGUGUCGCUCGUCCCGACCGCCCCGAGAGGCCUUUCCGCCCCCAUCCUGUCCCGGGUACCUAGCGCGUCUGGCGC
rnacentral:lncRNA from 1 species